AGGGAGUGGGAGAGGUACACGGUACUCGAUAGGAAGGGGUAAAAUCCUUUGAUCUAUUGAUGACCACCUGUGGCGAAGGCGGUGUACCAGAACACGUUCGACGGUGAGGGAUGAAAGCUGGGGGAGCAAACCGGAUUAGAUACCCGGGUAGUCCCAGCUGUAAACGAUGCAGACUCGGUGAUGCAUUGGCUUGUGGCCAAUGCAGUGCCGCAGGGAAGCCGUUAAGUCUGCCGCCUGGGAAGUACGUACGCAAGUAUGAAACUUAAAGGAAUUGGCGGGGGAGCACCACAAGGGGUGAAGCCUGCGGUUCAAUUGGANNNNNNGCCAGAAAUCUUACCUGGGGAGACAGCAGAAUGAAGGUCAAGCUGAAGACUUUACCAGACACGCUGAGAGGUGGUGCAUGGCCGUGCCAGCUCGUGCCGUGAGAUGUCCUGUUAAGUCAGGUAACGAGCGAGACCCCCGCGUCUAGUUGCUACCAUUACUCUCUGGAGCAGUNGAGCGNNUUAGACGGACCGCCACAGUUAAUGUGGAGGAAGGAAGGGGCCACGGCAGGUCAGUAUGCCCCGAAACCCUAGGGCUACACGCGGGCUGCAUGGUAUUGACAUGUGUUCCGAAUCCGAAAGGAGGA
rnacentral:rRNA from 1 species